UGGUUAUCGUUGUGUUUCUUAGACGGAGGCUGAAAAUCUUCGGCUUAGACCCGUUAAUUAUUGUAGCACCACUGGAUUAUUCUUAAGUUUUCAGUUAUUAAUUGAUACCGAAACACCUAAAUCUUCAAACCAAUUCACGCUUUACUUGACGACUUUAUAAAAUGAAGUGACUCCAUCUCAAGAGGCUUGUAGGCCAUAAAGAAGAGUUUUCGCUCAUUC